AGAGUUUGAUCCUGGCUCAGAGCGAACGGCGGAAUGCUUAACACAUGCAAGUCGCACGCCCCGGCAACGGGGAGUGGCGGACGGGUGAGGAACGCGUAGGAACAUGUCCAGAGGUGGGGGACAACCCUGGGAAACCGGGGCUAAUACCGCAUACGGCCCGAGGGCCAAAGCCGCGAGGCGCCUUUGGAGUGGCCUGCGUCCGAUUAGCUUGUUGGCGGGGUAACGGCCCACCAAGGCGGCGAUCGGUAGCUGGUCUGAGAGGAUGAUCAGCCACACUGGGACUGAGACACGGCCCAGACUCCUACGGGAGGCAGCAGUGGGGAAUAUUGGGCAAUGGGCGCAAGCCUGACCCAGCAAUUCCGCGUGGGUGAAGAAGGUCUUCGGAUUGUAAAGCCCUUUCGGCGGGGACGAUGGUGACGGUACCCGCAGAAGAAGCCCCGGCUAACUUCGUGCCAGCAGCCGCGGUAAUACGAAGGGGGCUAGCGUUGCUCGGAAUCAUUGGGCGUAAAGGGCGCGUAGCGGCGCAGCUAGUCAGGCGUGAAACCCCCGGGCUCAACCCGGGGACUGCGUUUGAUACGGCUGUGCUAGAGGAUGGAAGAGGGCCGCGGAAUUCCCAGUGUAGAGGUGAAAUUCGUAGAUAUUGGGAAGAACACCGGUGGCGAAGGCGGCGGCCUGGUCCAUUACUGCGCUGAGGCGCGACAGCGUGGGGAGCAAACAGGAUUAGAUACCCUAGUAGUCC
rnacentral:rRNA from 1 species